rnacentral:rRNA from 1 species
UACGUAGGAUCCGAGCGUUAUCCGGAAUGACUGGGCGUAAAGAGUUGCGUAGGUGGUAUGUUAAGCGAGCAGUGAAAUCUUGUGGCUCAACCAUGAGGCUAUUGCUUGAACUGGCAAACUAGAGUGCGAUAGAGGUAACUGGAAUUCCAAGUGUAGGAGUGAAAUCCGUAGAUAUUUGGAGGAACACCGAUGGCGUAGGCAGGUUACUGGAUCGCAACUGACACUAAUGCACGAAAGCGUGGGGAGCAAACGGG